AGCGAACGCUGGCGGCAGGCCUAACACAUGCAAGUCGAACGAACUCUUCGGAGUUAGUGGCGGACGGGUGAGUAACACGUGGGAACGUGCCUUUUGGUUCGGAAUAACUCAGGGAAACUUGUGCUAAUACCGAAUGUGCCCUUCGGGGGAAAGAUUUAUCGCCAUUAGAGCGGCCCGCGUCUGAUUAGCUAGUUGGUGAGGUAACGGCUCACCAAGGCGACGAUCAGUAGCUGGUCUGAGAGGAUGACCAGCCACACUGGGACUGAGACACGGCCCAGACUCCUACGGGAGGCAGCAGUGGGGAAUCUUGCGCAAUGGGCGAAAGCCUGACGCAGCCAUGCCGCGUGAAUGAUGAAGGUCUUAGGAUUGUAAAAUUCUUUCACCGGGGACGAUAAUGACGGUACCCGGAGAAGAAGCCCCGGCGAAAUUCGG
rnacentral:rRNA from 1 species